rnacentral:rRNA from 1 species
AGUGGCGGACGGGUGAGUAACGCGUGGGUAACCUGCCCUGUACAGGGGGAUAACAGUUGGAAACGGCUGCUAAUACCGCAUAAGCGCACGAAGGGACAUCCCUUUGUGUGAAAAACUCCGGUGGUACAGGAUGGGCCCGCGUCUGAUUAGCUGGUUGGCAGGGUAACGGCCUACCAAGGCGACGAUCAGUAGCCGGUCUGAGAGGAUGAACGGCCACAUUGGAACUGAGACACGGUCCAAACUCCUACGGGAGGCAGCAGUGGGGGAUAUUGCACAAUGGAGGAAACUCUGAUGCAGCAACGCCGCGUGAGGGAAGACGGUCUUCGGAUUGUAAACCUAAGUUAUCAGGGACGAACAAGAUGACGGAACCUGAAGAGAAAGCUCCGGCUAACUACGUGCCAGCAGCCGCGGUAAUACGUAGGGAGCGAGCGUUGUCCGGAUUUACUGGGUGUAAAGGGUGCGUAGGCGGGUCGGUAAGUCAGGCGUGAAAUCCCGCGGCUUUAACUGCGGGGGUGCGCUUGAAACUGUCGAUCUUGAGUGAAGUAGAGGCAAGCGGAAUUCCUAGUGUAGCGGUGAAAUGCGUAGAUAUUAGGAGGAACACCAGUGGCGAAGGCGGCUUGCUGGGCUUUAACUGACGCUGAGGCACGAAAGCAUGGGGAGCAAACAGGAUUAGAUACCCUGGUAGUCCAUGCCGUAAACGAUGAUUGCUAGGUGUGGGGGGUCGACUCCCUCCGUGCCGGAGUAAACGCAAUAAGCAAUCCACCUGGGGAGUACGACCGCAAGGUUGAAACUCAAAGGAAUUGACGGGGGCCCGCACAAGCAGUGGAGUAUGUGGUUUAAUUCGAAGCAACGCGAAGAACCUUACCUAGACUUGACAUGUCCUGAAUUACCAGUAAUGUGGGAAGUUCCUUCGGGAACAGGAACACAGGUGGUGCAUGGUUGUCGUCAGCUCGUGUCGUGAGAUGUUGGGUUAAGUCCCGCAACGAGCGCAACCCUUAUUGUUAGUUGGUACCAUUAAGUUGACCACUCUAGCGAGACUGCCCGGGUUAACCGGGAGGAAGGUGGGGAUGACGUCAAAUCAUCAUGCCCCUUAUGUCUAGGGCUACACACGUGCUACAAUGGCAAGUACAAAGAGAAGCAAUACUGUGAAGUGGAGCAAAACUCAAAAACUUGUCUCAGUUCGGAUUGUAGGCUGAAACUCGCCUACAUGAAGCUGGAGUUGCUAGUAAUCGCGAAUCAGAAUGUCGCGGCGAAUACGUUCCCGGGU